UCCCUCCUGAAGUUGGGUGCUGGGUUGAAGAGGAUGGUCUUCCCCAAAUAGAGAUGGACUGGACAGUUCUUUGGUGGAAGGUAUACAAGGAAGGUAUAUAAGUAGCUGCGCUCCUCUGCUAGAACAUCUAAACAAGCUCUCAUAAAAAAAAGAAGAAAAUUAUAGU
rnacentral:sRNA from 1 species